GACGAACGCUGGUGGCGUGCUUAACACAUGCAAGUCGAACGGGAUUUCGUUAACAGAAGCCUCGGCGGAAGAUUACUAAUGAGAGUGGCGAACGGGUAACUAACGCGUGAGCAACCUGCCUACUACAGUGGGAUAGCCUCUGGAAACCGGGAUUAAUACCGCAUAAAAUCGUAGAAACACAUGUUUUAUCGGUCAUAGAUUCAUCGGCCAUAGAUGGGCUCGCGUCUGAUUAGCUAGUUGGGGAGAUAACAGCCCACCAAGGCGACGAUCAGUAGCCGGUCGGAGAGGAGGAACGGCGACAUUGGAACUGAGACACGGUCCCAACUCCUGCGGGAGGCAGCAAUGGGGAAUAUAGCACAAUGAGGGAAACCCUGAGGCAGCGACGGCGCGUGAACGAAGAAGGUAUUGGUAUCGUAAAGUUCUGUCCUAUGGGAAGAUAAUGACGGUACCAAAGAAGGAAGCUCCGGCUAAAUACGUG
rnacentral:rRNA from 1 species